UGGCAGUUAAGUUUGUUGGUUUUUUAUUUUGAAGUUUAUAUUUUAGAACUCGGAUAUUUUAUUAUUGAUGUCAGUGUUAUCUAGCAAAAAAUUGUUUCAUCUUAUGAGCUGAUUGUGCAUGUGGUGCUGACCUUAGUUUUGAUAUUGCAUUUUGAUAUUAAUAUCUUAUAUAAUGCCCUUAUCCUUGUGAUAUCAUAAGUUUUAAGUUAAAUGUGGUGUUAUGACAACUUAACUGUACUCAUCAAAGCAUUUUGUACUAGGAAGUAUUCAUGUUAACCUCAAAAUUGUGACUUCUAGCAUCAAAAGUGCACUGGUUGCUUGUAUUGCAGCUUUCAUUUGCAAAAGACAUUGGCACUAUCUUCUUGUUUCAAGAUGAGAGUUUUUCUGGUAUUGCAAUAUUAGAAUUUCUAUACUUUUUUGUUGUUA
rnacentral:misc_RNA from 1 species